rnacentral:lncRNA from 1 species
AAAAAAAUAUUUCCUAACCUUUCAACCUCUUUUUCCUUCCUUCCUUCCUUCCUCCCUCCCUCCCUUCCUCCCUCCCUCCCUCCCUCCUUUCUUUUCUUUUCUUUUCUUUUCUUUUCUUUUCUUUUCUUUUCUUUUUUCUUUUCUUUCUUUCUUUCUUCCCCCCCUCUUUUCUUUCUUUUUGCUUCUUUCUGUCUUUCUUUUUUAUUUUUAUUAUUGUCUUUGGCUUACUUCUGUUCAUAUUCUGAAGCACAGUGUUUGCAGAUAGUUAUUUAUAUGUAUGAAUUCACUGGCUCAUUCUAGUGCGAAAUAGGUCAUUCUGGAACAGUGAGAAAUGUGAUUGCUGAAUUUCAAGCAGUUUUUGCUGCUCAGCUGGAUCUGAAGCAAAAGAAAGGGGGUCAGGGCAGCACUUGUUGAAGAUUUCUUGUUGCCAUUGUCCAGGAGCACUGCUGAAUGUGGUGUCUUCUCUGUGCUUAGGAAGAAGGGAGAGGGUUCGGCUCUGAGGUUCCCAGCGGCUGGCACAUUUUGCUAACUACUUACUGAUAAAAGGAAACAUAAAAGAUCACCUUAAUUAACAGGAUGAAGGAUUUUUUUCCUUAAAUGAUUAAGUAUAGUCAGCACAAACAUGCUACUUUUAAUGGACUAAAAUACUGUGGAAGGAUAGAAACCCAAUACAGAAUUAAUGAGUGACUAUUCUCAUCAAAAAUGACAAAACCUUUAAUAAAACAAUGAAAAUACCUUGGAAAAAAUAUAUUAUUAAUAUUUUGAAAAAUGAAAUUAGUUAACCCAGUGCCUUCUUACCCUGUGUGGAAAUGAACUUGCUAAACCGGAGUUAUGUUUAAGCAGUUAUCUAUUUGCAAACUUAGUUAAGGAUCCAUCAAUUAAAAUCUAAUUUGCAUUAUCAAGGGGUUAUAAAUCCAUACAUUACUUCAUAGGGUUUUUUUUUUGUGUGUGUUAAUAACAGCUCUAAUAAACUAUAAUCUUUUUCAUUAGUAUCUAUUUUAGAAAUUUCUGAUGUUCUCUAUUUGGAAAUACUCUUAUUCUAUUUUUAAUUAUUAAUAUACAUGGUUUCUGUAUUUAAAAACAAGUAUGUAUUAUUGAAGAAUUUAUUUCAAUUUAAGCUCAAAGAAAGGACCACAUAAGAGAUUAAUUCAAAGUAUGCUUCAGGUUCUGGCUGGGUGUUCUUGAAUCAAGUGGUUUUUCUCGUAUGAAUUUUAAAGCAAGUGAGUGAAUGAGCUGACAGAGCAGCAGGAGCCCUGCUUGGCUGCUCAGGGAGGCGGCCUCACCAUCAGAGCAGGUGGAAACAGUCACACCUUCCUGCCUGGGCCCUAAGAUGCUUUACCACUUUGCUGACCUGUAAGUCAGAGGAAAAUAAAGCCAUUAAAUCUACUACAUGAAAGCCCGUUAGACGAAAAUCUUUGCUAUGAAGCAGAAAUCCUUUUUUCUACGUUUUCAACAGGGUCGGUGUGUUGUUACCCCCACUCUCACCACCAUAACCCAUAUGGGCUUAAUGAACUGAGUAUCAUGAAAGUGAUUGUUAUAAAUGUAGUAGCAAUGUUAAAGGUAUGGCAAAAUCAUGCAUUUCAAUCCUACAUUAUUGUUUUCCUAUAUUUGUUUUAUUAAAUGUAUACAGAAGUAUAGUUGAGUAGUACUGCAUGCCUUAGAAGCUUGGGAGUAAAAUACAUAGUUCUCUACUUUGUACGUGCAAUAAUUUUUUUCUUGAUUAUAGGUGAGGAUCUUGUGACAAAAGAUAGGUUUACAAGAGAAAAGUACUUUCAGUUUUGUUCAGUACAGCAGCCUUCAAAAUGAAGCCCUAAUGAAAAUAGGAAGCCAGUGUGUCUUUUUUGUGCUAGGUUUGAUGAAGAAGAGGAUUGUCAUGGAGUUGUGUGCAAAGGAGGUAUGACCAUUGGUUAUCAACUUGGGGGGAC